rnacentral:rRNA from 1 species
GACGAACGCUGGCGGCGUGCUUAACACAUGCAAGUCGAACGAUGAAGCGGGUGCUUGCACUCGUGGAUUAGUGGCGAACGGGCGAGUAACACGUGAGUAACCUGUCCUUUUCUUUGGGAUAACGGCUGGAAACGGCUGCUAAUACUGGAUAUUCAGGCUGCAUCGCAUGGUGUGGUUUGGAAAGGUUUUUUCUGGGAUUGGGUGGGCUCGCGGCCUAUCAGCUUGUUGGUGGGGUGAUGGCUUACCAAGGCUUUGACGGGUAGCCGGCCUGAGAGGGUGGUGGGUGGAAAGGGGACUGGAAUCCGGCCCAGACUCCUACGGGGGGCAGCGGGGGGGAAUAUUGACAAAUGGACGAAAGUUUGAUGCAGCGACGCCGGGUGGGGGGGGUAGGCCUUGGGGUGGGGACCUCUUUUUUUCCGCAAAAAAGGCAAAGUUUUGGCUGUGUUGAUGGUAGUGGGGGAAGAAGCGCCGGCUAACCACGU